rnacentral:lncRNA from 1 species
AAGGGUUGACCAGUGGUUCCAGGGGUAUUUUGGUAAUUGUUGUUUAUUGUUUGAGUUCAGUGCAUUGGUGGCUGUCCAGAGGUGGAGAUCGUAUCAGUGAUCGGAGCAGCUUGAGCUAUCUGUUCAGUCGGCAGUUUCGAGGUGAGUUAUCCUCACUAUAUCGCUAGGGUUUAUGGCACCAAGGCCGACCCUUUUAUCGGAUGGAAAUCCGGGUAGUUGUCAUUAGUUAUGAUAUGGGCCGGAAGGCAUUAUAUGUUGCAGGCCGGAAGGCAUUACAUGUUAUGGGCCGGAAGGCAUUGCUAUGUGGACCGGAAGGUCAUGGCCUGGAAAGGCGUAUGUAUGCAUUUAGUAUGUUGACUGAUUCGUAGGGUAAUGUUAUGCUAGUGACCGGCUAGACCGGUAUCUUGUUUAGAGUAAUGCUAUGAUAUGUGAUCUGUUGAUCGAUUGUUGUCUGUGAACUGCUAUAUGAUUAUGUGUUAUGAUUGCUAGAUCUGGGGUGUGACCCGAUAUGUAGGGUCGUUCUAUGAUUUGUUAUGUUAUGUAUGCAUUUUAUGCUAUGGGCCGGAAGGCAAUAUGUUAUGGGCCGGAAGGCAAUAUGUUAUGGGCCGGAAGGCAAUAUGUUUGGACCGGAAGGUCGUGGCCUGGAAGGGCGUAUAUGUGGUUGGUAUUUUGGGGGUAUCUCACUAAGCUUUCGGGCUUACAGUUGUGGUUUUAUGUUUCAGGUUCUCAAGAGUCUGUGGCAAGGCAAAGGCGUGAUCGUACCGUUCCUCGCGUUGGUGUUUUAUGAUAUGAACCUGGGAAAAUACUCUGUUAAAUAAUGUAUUGAAAACCUUUUUGUAACAACGUUAUUAAAAUGGGUGGUUUUUGAAAAGUUUUAAUUGUUUUGAAAUUUUGGUCGUUACAAGUUGGUAUCAGAGCCUUGGUUUGAGUGAAUUGGGGGAACACUCGUGUAACUCCAGUCUCAAAUCGAGGAAGGUUUUAAAAGAGAAAUUAAAAUGGUUUUUAAAUUAAGUAAAAGGAGGACGCGGAGGUACGAUCAGCCGGAGCCAGUAAGUAACCCCAAAUUUACCAUUCAUGACACUUGUUUUAUUGAGCUUUGAUAGAACAGCAUGCUAGAGUUAGGCUAGGGAUCUUCAGGAUUUCAUGAUAAUGUUGCCUGAUUUGUGAUGCCUGUAGCCUAGGGUCCCUUAUGGGAGAUUCUCAGUGUUCCUCUAGUGGUGAGGGUUGAUAGUUGUUAUGCAUGUUCUCUAGGGUAUUGUGGUAGUACUUCAUACAAAUAUGGGUAGGUGUGGAAGGUAGUAUGGGCCCGUACUACUGAAAGCACAGGACCCAUACGCGUAUCAGGGAAACCAUGAUCUCUAGGGUUGGGUUGAGAGAGUUGGAUCCCAGGAUUGUGGGAAGUGUCUGAGAUUUGGUAUGGUGUUUUUCAGUAUGGAGAUUCCGAGGCAUGAUGAGAGUGGAUCCGGAUCAGGAUCGGGAGCUGGAGAGAGAGUUCCGGGUGGAUCGGUGCCGUCUGAGGUUAUCGAUCAGAUGAGCACGAGCGAGUUGGAUGCGAGGAUUCGCGAGAUCCUGCAUGAUGAGGUUGCUGCAUUGUUCCGGGCUGAGUUGCCGGAACUGUUUGGGUCGAUCAAGACCGCCAUGGUUGAGUAUUUUGAUGAGCGCUAUGCGGCUCUCGCAGAGACGGCUGCCGCGGCGGCUACAAUGGCUGUAGCAGCGGCAGGGGGAGGAGCUGGUCGGGGUUUUCAGUAUCGGGACUUCGAUAAUACGAAGCCUCCCACCUUUGAUGGAGUUCAGGACCCGAUUGUUGCUAUGAGAUGGUUAUCAGACGUGGAGGGGUGUUUCUUCACGUGUUCAUGCCCUGCUGAUCAGAGGGUGAGGUGUGCUCUGAACCUAUUGAGGCUCGGGGCGAAGGAUUGGUGGAGAUUGACCACGGGGUCAUAUUUCGAUGCGCAGAGGGCUGCGGUUUUAUGGGAUCAGUUCAGAGAGAUGUUCGGCACUCGCUAUGUUCCGUGGGAUGAGAGGGAGAGUUUGGCUCGGGAGUUCCUUGAGCUGAAGCAGGAUUCGGAGUCGGUGACUGAGAUCACCAGGAUGUGUAUUGAGAGGGCGAUGUUUUGCCCUGAGUUCGCUUCGGAGCAGGCUCAGAUGUCCCGAUAUCUGAGUAUGCUCAAGNNNNNNNNNNNNNNNNNNNNNNNNNNNNNNNNNNNNNNNNNNNNNNNNNNNNNNNNNNNNNNNNNNNNNNNNNNNNNNNNNNNNNNNNNNNNNNNNNNNNNNNNNNNGCCGGCGCCGAAACGGUCCAGGACCGUUGAUGCUAGAGUGGGGGAUCGGAGCGGCCACACUUGUGGGAAGUGUGGGAGGGGUCACACCGGAGUUUGUUGGUCCGGUGGUGCAUGCCGCAAGUGCGGAAAGGAGGGGCACUAUGCGCGGGAUUGUCGGCAGUCAGUGCCGAUUCGGGAUUUGAGGAUUUGUUAUCAUUGUCGGCAGGUUGGACAAUUGAGGGUCAACUGUCCACAGCUUUCUGCAGGACCGGUGCAUGCUCUAGCACCGGCCACCUUGAGGAGUUCAGGAGGAGGACAAGAUGGAGCGGAGCCCCAAGGGCUCAGGGUCGUGCUUAUCAGCUUGCAGCAGAGGGAGUUGGAGCAGUGUCGGAGGCAGUUGCGGGUAUGUUGCUUUCUUGAUGUCUUGUUAUCUUGCGUUUAUUGUGGCGUAUUGUUUGUGCUGGUAUCUUGUGUGGAUUCGAUGCGGUAUUCGUUGUUUCGCGGGUUCGGCAUGGUUAUGGAUUGGUGUUUCGGGUUUCCGUUUUGGGUAUCCGUUGUUCCCUGAAGGUUGGUAUGGUUAUAGUUUGGUGGUUGUUAGUCAGUACUUUAAGUGGGGGAGAAUUGGAGAAUUCUCCGGGAGAUCGAUGAGUAUGUGAGGGUGCUUAGCUGUUGGGAUUCAACAGUGUUCUGCCAGCUCAGAGAAUAGGCUGACGAGAGCGAGCGUCGGGUAUGCGGGGCGGGAUACAGACCUAGGGCAUUUGAUUGUGGAGGCCUGGGAGCAGGCCGGGAUCAAGUUUGAGUAAGUAACCGGGGUUAUGUGAUCAGAGUAUUUGUAUGCUUGAUGUACGUGAUGGGUUGUACUGCAUUAACCCCACGGGAUUUAUGUUGUGCAUGUUUCUAGAGAGGGAACCGGAAGGGUCCCAGAGUUAGAACCUGAGGGUUCACAGAGUUUGGGUGUACGGACCCACAGAGAUAUAGCCUCGAGUGGCUAGUGUGUGUUAUGAGAGUCGGUCCAGUCAUGCUGGGGACUCUGAUGGUAUUGUUGGAUCAGUUUGAGAUUUCGGAUUGUGUAUGUGGCAGUGUGAUUACAUCGGAAGGUCUGGCCCCGAGCUAGUGAUUCUGUUUAGUUGAGGUAGUGAUUUUGUGGAAGGGAGAGAGUGCAUGGGCUUGAGAGCCCCUGCAAUGAGAGCCAGAGUAUGUGAAUAGCGGUUAUGCAAAAAGGGUGGUGUCGCGUGGGGCGAGCACCGUGGCACCGGUUGGGGUGGCAUUAUGGCCAAGAGGGUUCCUUGGAAAAGGAAAAGAGAAAGGUGUGUAACUCCGAAGGGGAGUGCAAGUUCACAAAAGGGAAAGCUGCAGAGCAGAGUUACAAUUAGAAUAUUUCGAGUAUGGUUUUGGGCAUCGUGUUCGUGGCAGUGAAGUAGGAACUCAUCCGGUUUGGGAUGUCUGUUGAGGCUCAGAAGGGAUGCAGGGGGAGAGAGAAUCUUGAAUUCUCAAUGUGAUUCUGAUCGGGGUAUAGGGUGGAUAUUAGUGGUUCAUCCUGGGAGAUGUUCGAGGAUGUCAUCAGUGUAUCGGGUCUUCCAACCUGUGGGUGUUGGGGCUAGUUCAGCAUGUGUAUGUGAUUGCAAGAGGAGAACUCGUAAGAGUUGCUCUGAGAGUGAGAAUGGGUUUCUCAGUCGGUCCGGAAUGGACAAAGUGGGCUUUGGAUCGGGGAUCCGAUGGUUCAUGGUUUCCUAACCCUUAUGGGUCGAGUGAUCGUGGAGAUUUAGAGCAGAGUUGCAUCUUGGGUAAUUCUCGGUUACAGAGAGUGAUGGGCAGUACAAAGAUCGUGCUUCAGACGACAGAGCAGAUUCAGCAGGUUAGACAGAGGUUAUUGACCGCCCAGAGCCGACAGAAAAGUUAUGCAGACAGACGCCGGUCCGAGCUUGAGUUUCAGGUCGGCGACUUCGUACUCCUGAAGGUCUCUCCUUGGAAAGGAGUGAUUCGAUUCAGGAAGAGGGGCAAGUUGGGGCCCCGGUAUAUUGGGCCUUUUCAUGUGAUUGCGAGGGUAGGCCGGGUGGCCUACCGUUUGGAGUUGCCAACGGAAUUGAGACAGAUCCACGACACUUUUCAUGUGUCGCAAUUGAGAAAGUGUAUAGCCGAUGAGUCGGCAGUGGUUCCAUUAGAGGACAUUCAGGUGGAUGCGAGCCUGAAUUAUGCCGAGAGACCAGUGGCCAUCAGGGAUCGGAAGAUCAAGGUUCUGAGGAACAAGGAGGUACCUCUGGUGUUGGUUCAGUGGCAACACCGGAAGGGAUCGGAAAUGACUUGGGAGCCGGAGCGUGAGAUGCGGGAGCAGCAUCCGGAGCUAUUUUCAGAGUGAGACUUCGAGGGCGAAGUCUAGUCCUAGUGGGGGAGAGUUGUAACAGCCCGGAAUUUCAGGUAUUGUUAUAUUUAUGAUUUUGGGUGUUUUAAGAGGGGACUCGGCGAGUUGGAGCCUAGACUCGCCGAGUAGGAUCGCGGAUCUGGUCGCGGGUUCGCGACUGGACUCGACGAGUCCGGAUAUGGACUCGGCGAGUCUGCGCUGUUUAGCGAAAACCCUAACCGUUCAGGUUUGGGACGUAUAUGAGGGACCUUAUGGCCGUCAUUGUUCACCCUAGUCCUCUGAGAGAAACCCUAAUUCGAUUGUGAGCAUCUGGAGCAAGGUAGAAGACCAUUGUUGAUUUUGGAAGUGUUGUUUUGCAAGGAAGAGGAGGCUUGGUUAAGGGAACAACAAGAGAAGCCACGUUCUGAGGAUUGGGGACACAGAGAGCACGUUAUUCAGGUAAUAUUUCGAGUUGCAUUCUUCUAUGUUGAUGUGUAUAUGGAUUUAGGGUUUAUUGAACCCUUUUGUGGCUAGAUUGAGUGUUUCCUUAGUCCCCCAAGCGAUUGGAACCCUAUAUUGGGACCCUUGGAAGUCCAGAAUGUCCCAUGCCUGAGCUUUUCGGGAAUCAAUGGAGGUUUUGGAUUGGAAUCCUUAUGCCUUAGGUCAAAAUGUAAAUUAUGAGUCAUGGGGUGUAUUAUGAGCACCGAAAUGAGGACUUUACGUGAUGAACCAGUCUAGGAAGGCCAGACCUAUGAAUGGUCGGAGCAGUUCUGACCUUAGAAAGCAGUUUGAGCGGUUGCAUGGCAUGGACUCGCCGAGUCCGAUGAACAGACUCGGCGAGUAGCUUGAAGAUUAACUGGGACUCGUCGAGUUGUUCUUCAGACUCGGCGAGUUGAGUCGGGGUGGCCCCGCGAUUCUUCCAGGAGGAACUCGUCGAGUAAAAAGGGGAUACUCGACGUGUAGAAAGGGAAUCUUAAGGAAUCGGUGAGUUAAGGGCGAGUGGACUCAGAGUCGUUGAACUCGGCGAGUCUUGGGGUGACUCGGCGAGUUAGGUCGCGGAUUGAGUGAAGUUCUGAGUAUGGGGACUCGGCGAGUCAUAGGGUUGACUCGGCGAGUAGGGUCAGUCAGGGGUUGACUUUGACCUUGCCUUUGACCAAGGAUUGACCAGUGGUUCCAGGGGUAUUUUGGUAAUUGUUGUUUAUUGUUUGAGUUCAGUGCAUUGGUGGCUGUCCAGAGGUGGAGAUCGUAUCAGUGAUCGGAGCAGCUUGAGCUAUCUGUUCAGUCGGCAGUUUCGAGGUGAGUUAUCCUCACUAUAUCGCUAGGGUUUAUGGCACCAAGGCCAACCUUUUUUAUCGGAUGUAAAUCCGGGUAGUUGCCAGUUGUUAUGAUAUGGGCCAGAAGGCGUUAUAUGUUGCAGGCCGGAAGGCAUUACAUGUUGUGGACCGGAAGGUCAUGGCCUGGAAAGGCAUAUGUGUGCAUUUAGUAUGUUGACUGAUUCGUAGGGCUAUGUUAUGCUAGCGACCGGCUAGGCCGGUAUCUUGAAUAGAGUAAUGCUAUGUUAUGUGGUCUGUUGAUCGAUUGCUGACUGUGCACUGUUAUAUGAUUAUGUGUUAUGCAUAUGAUUGCUAGACCUGGGGUGUGACCCGGUAUGCAGGGUCGUUCUAUGUUCUGUUAUGUUAUGUAUGCUUUUACGCUGAUAUGUAUGUUUGUUAUGCUGUGGGCCGGAAGGCAAUAUGUUAUGGGCCGGAAGGCAAUAUGUUAUGGGCCGGAAGGCGAUAUGUUUGGACCGGAAGGUCGUGGCCUGGGAAGGCGUAUAUGUGGUUGGUAUUUUGGGGGUAUCUCACUAAACUUUCGGGCUUACAGUUGUGGUUUUAUGUUUUUAGGUUCUCAGGAGUCUGUGGCAAGGCAAAGGCGUGAUCGUACCGUUCCUCGCGUUGGUGUUUAUGAUAUGAACCUGGGAAAAUACUCUGUUAAAUAAUGUAUUGAAAACCUUUUUGUAACAACAUUAAUAAAAUGGGUGAUUUUGAAAAGUUUUAAUUGUUUUGAAAUUUUAGUCGUUAC